CGCGUAGGCGGUUCGAUAAGUCGGAUGUGAAAUCCCUGGGCUCAACCUGGGAAUUGCAUUCGAAACUGUCGAGCUAGAGUGUGGAAGAGGGAAGUGGAAUUCCAGGUGUAGCGGUGAAAUGCGUAGAUAUCUGGAGGAACAUCAGUGGCGAAGGCGGCUUCCUGGUCCAACACUGACGCUGAGGUGCGAAAGCGUGGGGAGCAAACA
rnacentral:rRNA from 1 species